rnacentral:rRNA from 1 species
UACGUAGGGUGCGAGCGUUGUCCGGAAUUAUUGGGCGUAAAGGGCUCGUAGGCGGUUUGUCGCGUCGGGAGUGAAAUCCACUGGCUUAACUGGUGGCUUGCUUUCGAUACGGGCAGACUAGAGGUAGGUAGGGGAGAAUGGAAUUCCCGGUGUAGCGGUGAAAUGCGCAGAUAUCGGGAGGAACACCGGUGGCGAAGGCGGUUCUCUGGGCCUUACCUGACGCUGAGGAGCGGAAAGCGUGGGGAGCGAACAGG